UGAACGCUAGCGACAGGCUUAACACAUGCAAGUCGAGGGGCAGCACAGGUAGCAAUACCGGGUGGCGACCGGCGCACGGGUGAGUAACGCGUAUGCAACUUACCUAUCAGAGGGGGAUAACCCGGCGAAAGUCGGACUAAUACCGCAUGAAGCAGGGGCCCCGCAUGGGGAUAUUUGCUAAAGAUUCAUCGCUGAUAGAUAGGCAUGCGUUCCAUUAGGCAGUUGGCGGGGUAACGGCCCACCAAACCGACGAUGGAUAGGGGUUCUGAGAGGAAGGUCCCCCACAUUGGUACUGAGACACGGACCAAACUCCUACGGGAGGCAGCAGUGAGGAAUAUUGGUCAAUGGCCGAGAGGCUGAACCAGCCAAGUCGCGUGAGGGAUGAAGGUUCUAUGGAUCGUAAACCUCUUUUAUAAGGGAAUAAAGUGCGGGACGUGUCCCGUUUUGUAUGUACCUUAUGAAUAAGGAUCGGCUAACUCCGUGCCAGCAGCCGCGGUAAUACGGAGGAUCCGAGCGUUAUCCGGAUUUAUUGGGUUUAAAGGGUGCGUAGGCGGCCUUUUAAGUCAGCGGUGAAAGUCUGUGGCUCAACCAUAGAAUUGCCGUUGAAACUGGGGGGCUUGAGUAUGUUUGAGGCAGGCGGAAUGCGUGGUGUAGCGGUGAAAUGCAUAGAUAUCACGCAGAACCCCGAUUGCGAAGGCAGCCUGCCAAGCCAUGACUGACGCUGAUGCACGAAAGCGUGGGGAUCAAACAGGAUUAGAUACCCUGGUAGUCCACGCAGUAAACGAUGAUCACUAGCUGUUUGCGAUACACUGUAAGCGGCACAGCGAAAGCGUUAAGUGAUCCACCUGGGGAGUACGCCGGCAACGGUGAAACUCAAAGGAAUUGACGGGGGCCCGCACAAGCGGAGGAACAUGUGGUUUAAUUCGAUGAUACGCGAGGAACCUUACCCGGGUUUGAACGCAUUCGGACCGAGGUGGAAACACCUUUUCUAGCAAUAGCCGUUUGCGAGGUGCUGCAUGGUUGUCGUCAGCUCGUGCCGUGAGGUGUCGGCUUAAGUGCCAUAACGAGCGCAACCCUUGCCACUAGUUACUAACAGGUAAAGCUGAGGACUCUGGUGGGACUGCCAGCGUAAGCUGCGAGGAAGGCGGGGAUGACGUCAAAUCAGCACGGCCCUUACAUCCGGGGCGACACACGUGUUACAAUGGCGUGGACAAAGGGAGGCCACCUGGCGACAGGGAGCGAAUCCCCAAACCACGUCUCAGUUCGGAUCGGAGUCUGCAACCCGACUCCGUGAAGCUGGAUUCGCUAGUAAUCGCGCAUCAGCCAUGGCGCGGUGAAUACGUUCCCGGGCCUUGUACACACCGCCCGUCAAGCCAUGGGAGCCGGGGGUACCUGAAGUCCGUAACCGCGAGGAUCGGCCUAGGGUAAAACUGGUGACUGGGGCUAAGUCGUAACAAGGUAGCCGUACCGGAAGGUGCGGCUGGAACACCUCCUUUCU
rnacentral:rRNA from 1 species